GUUGAGGGACUUGUGACUUAGGUCACGGGUUCAAGCACUUCCAUAUGCGAACUAAACCCAACAUGUAAGUAGGGGAGGAUAGAGGGGCAAGCCGAUUAUCCAGGAGUUUCAAAGGCUACGGUCGGUCCUAAGGGUUGGCCCCACACGGAUUUCUCAGUCAUCAAAGGGGGAGGGAUAACUAGCAUCAACGACACGGGCUCAAUGAGAGCGAAACAGAUAUAGAGGAUUACGUAGCGGAAUCACCUAGUUUGGGAUUGAGGCGUAAUAAUAAUUGUUAUUGUUGUUGACUACCGUCCUCUUCCCAGGCAGCAAUACGUAUCAACAGGAUUGGAUUUUUCCAAGUACACCCACAUAUUCCAGGUUAAUAUUUGUAUACGUGACUAUUUGUACUUCAAUUGAACAGAACCCUACCCUAAGCCAGGCUCUACCAAGCUGAGGUAACUCUUUCACCAAAAUUUACCUCAUACUUUAUGAGGGAUAUAACGAAAAAAAGCUUAAUAUAAUGAUCAAUAAGGGAACAGCAAACAACCCCCAAAUUUUUGUCAAUACCCUAACUACCAGAACCCCCAAAUUACACGACAACAAUUUAAAACUCAUAAAAUUUCUAU
rnacentral:lncRNA from 1 species